rnacentral:rRNA from 1 species
GAUGAACGCUGGCGGCGUGCCUAAUACAUGCAAGUAGAACGCUGAAGGAGGAGCUUGCUCUUCUGGAUGAGUUGCGAACGGGUGAGUAACGCGUAGGUAACCUGCCUGGUAGCGGGGGAUAACUAUUGGAAACGAUAGCUAAUACCGCAUGACAACAGUUAUUGCAUGAUAACUGUUUAAAAGGGGCAACUGCUCCACUACCAGAUGGACCUGCGUUGUAUUAGCUAGUUGGUGAGGUAACGGCUCACCAAGGCGACGAUACACAGCCGACCUGAGAGGGUGAUCGGCCACACUGGGACUGAGACACGGCCCAGACUCCUACGGGAGGCAGCAGUAGGGAAUCUUCGGCAAUGGACGGAAGUCUGACCGAGCAACGCCGCGUGAGUGAAGAAGGUUUUCGGAUCGUAAAGCUCUGUUGUAAGAGAAGAACGAGUGUGAGAGUGGAAAGUUCACACUGUGACGGUAUCUUACCAGAAAGGGACGGCUAACUACGUG